rnacentral:rRNA from 1 species
UACGUAGGGGGCAAGCGUUGUCCGGAAUUAUUGGGCGUAAAGAGCGUGUAGGCGGCCAAGCAGGUCCGCUGUGAAAACUGGAGGCUUAACCUCCAGACGUCGACGGAAACCGCGCGGCUAGAGUCCGGAAGAGGAGAGUGGAAUUCCUGGUGUAGCGGUGAAAUGCGCAGAUAUCAGGAAGAACACCAAUGGCGAAGGCAGCUCUCUGGGACGGUACUGACGCUGAGACGCGAAAGCGUGGGGAGCGAACAGG